rnacentral:rRNA from 1 species
UACGGGGGGGGCAAGCGUUGUUCGGAAUUACUGGGCGUAAAGGGCUCGUAGGUGGCCAACUAAGUCAGACGUGAAAUCCCUCAGCUUAACUGGGGAACUGCGUCUGAUACUGGAUGGCUUGAGAUUGGGAGAGGGAUGCGGAAUUCCAGGUGUAGCGGUGAAAUGCGUAGAUAUCUGGAGGAACACCGGUGGCGAAGGCGGCAUCCUGGACCAACACUGGCACUGAGGAGCGAAAGCCAGGGGAGCAAACGGG